rnacentral:misc_RNA from 1 species
AUAAAUGCUAUGAAGAGAAGAAGUAGGGCUAUAUUUUAUUUAACAGAGAGUUCCAGUUUGGUGAAAUGGAAUAAAUUGAUUUAGUUUGAAUACAUCUCAGAGCACUAUCUCUGAAAGAUAACAACCAUUAAGAGAUAUCGGAUUAGUACACGUUAUAGUACACGAGUAUAUGUAAUUGUACUCUAAGAGAUUAAUAUCGUGA